ACCAAUUGACUCACCUGGUGAAAGGGGUUUUUUUGUAGCAUGGGGAGCAGUUAGCAUAAAAGCCAAGUAGCAGAUAAGUUGUAGAAUCGCUAUUGUUUUGUUUGUUUUUCAUUUAAAAGCUGUUAUUUGAUUCAUUUGUUGUUUAUUAAGCCCAAACAAACUGUACUAUUACUUUUUAACGUUUACCGUACCCACUGAAGGCACAUUAUUAGCCAUUAAGUGAAGCUAGCUGUUGUUUCCCACAAUGCUACUGAUUCCAUCGUCACAAUCUUCUCAAAUGCUCUGAAGCAGCUCCACAGAGAUAUAACAACCUCAUCCGUAGGAAGCCAUGGGGUCAGGGCGAGUUGACUCCCAUGUCAAAAUUGUCCCUACGUUGACCUGCGCCUGACUGGCCUCCCAGCAAAAAUCCCCUGUGAAGGAUCAAAUGACGAUGAUCAUGUUGGCCCAGGGUUUCAUUGGACGUUGUCUGCUACAGCCCACGUGACCCUUUUGAUCAGAGCUGGGAGCAAGAAAACCAUCCAUCAUCUGGCUGACUGGUCUGAGGCGCCCUCUGCUGGAGAAUUAGCUGCACUGCAACGAACAUCAGCCAAGAGUGGAGACAUAACCGAGAGCAGGAGUCCGGGCCUUGUCUGAUCCUCAUCCCCAACAUCAUGAUCUGGCCUGCAGCACAAACAUCCAGUCACAUCAUUGGAACCUCCAGACCUCCAGACCAGGGUGAAGGCCUCAGAGUCACAGAACAAAAAUGUGCCUGUUCUCUCACAUCCUCAGGUCAGACACCGCAGCCUGAUGCUGCAGCCUCUCUCUCUGUCUCCCUUACCCUUUCUCUCUCUCUCUCUUUCUCUGGUUAAACGCAGACAGAGCAGCUGCUGUCAACAGACAGCACACAGCGACGGGCGAGAGACAAACGAACCCAGAGGAAGGUUUGGAUUGGAUUAUAAUUACCCAAAUCAUCCAGACUAAUCUUCCCAUUUUCCCCUCGUGUAAACAUUAGGCCCACAGUGACAGUGGUGUAGACACAACAAGAGCUGCAGCGGCGCACUGGAGCUCAGUGCGCUGUUGUUUGGAAACAUGGUGCCCUUACCUUUGUUGAUAAUCCAUCAUCUGCAGCGUGUGUGCCACUCCUGCGCGGCUCCUCUCUGCUCCUUUCUCACACGCAUUCCCCGCUUCCUCCAAGUGAUUUGGUCAAAGUAAUCCCAUUCAGCAGCAGCAGCGUCACCAUCAUCAUCCAGCAGUAGCUGAUGGAGACCAUUUUCAGCCACAUAUAGCAACACAAGUGCAAAAUGUCACACUGACACUCACGCAGGCUGAAGCUUCGGCGCAAAAAAAAAAAAAAGACAAAAAAACCCCGCAGCGUCCUCCACUUUUUUGGAGGCGAACUUCACGCAACCCAACGCAGCUCCUCUCACCAAAAACAUCAUACGAGGAGCCAAGAAAAAGAGGUUUGUGUAACGACUGUUAAGUGAAUGAGCAGUGGAAAACAGCAGCUGCGAUAUAACCUCAUGGGAAAUAAGUUCCCAUUGCUGCUGUCCACAUGACCGCCAGCGACCAAUCCUGGAGCCGAGUGCGUCGUAAACUUCCAUGGCAAAGUUGUAAAUUUUCAUAAACAGCAGUCGUUUUUGUGCUCCAGACCCUCUUUCUCAUCGCCAUCUUUUAUUUGCUACACGGUGUGAAGUGUUUUUAUUGCGCGUGUGAAAAGGAAAAGAGUGAGAAUGUGGGAAUGGAAGAGAAGAGAUUGGGUUUUUUUUCAACGUUGACAUUGGAUGAUGCGCACUUGGUCCUGGUCCACCUUUGCAGCCUGUGCUGGUGUGUGAACCAGUCUGAACAAGGAUCACACUCCAGCUCUGGGUGUCUGAAGGUCUCCUCAGGGGCCUUUACUCAGCUGGGGGCCCCUCCGAGAGAAGUGAGAGAAACCAGGCCUCCUGAUCAGAGGGACCCGGGUAGAGACCACAAACAGACUCUGC